UUGAUACUUUUGAUGGGGAACCAAUACAGAGGAAAUGUGAAAAGAAAAAAGAAUGCCUAAAAAUUCUGAAUUGAAACAAACACUCAUUAUCUUGGGUACAAAUGAAAGUACAUUAAAAAGUUAAAUGAAUGUCAUGUCUAUGCUAUUCAUAUGAACCACUUAACAAUAUCCAAACAUACAAUACACUAUGUCAGUUUUUAUGAAUAGAUAUUGGAAAUCUAUUCAUCAUUAAAAAUCUUCAUACUUCAAUACAGUCAACAGUUGCUUUCCUUCUUUGUUUCCUGACACUGUAUUUUUAAAGAGAGCAGAUUGAAGAAUGGCUGCUGUCUAGUACACAGAGAGGGAUUUGUGCUGUUUCUCUACAAUAGUUGCUCCACUGUUUCAUUAUAAUCCUACAUCCUGUAAUUUCAAGAUUCGACUGCCAUUGCCACUAGGGCUAGCGAUUUAAACAGAAUAAAUUGACAAGCAACAGCAAUCGUGUUGUUAGCCUAUUAAGAUUUAGUUGUAAAGAAUCAAGACAGCUCAACCCAGAAUGGCAUGGGAUUUGAUGACAGAGAAAACUGGACACAGUCGAUUGUAGUAAUGGAAAGGAUAUUUUAAUACUCUGGUGUUGUACUUGCUAAAGAUGACAUGUUCUGCUUAUCUUUAAUCCAAUUAACACUCAUUUAAGAGUAACACACCAUACCACAAUCUGAUGCAAAAGAAAUCGCUGUUUUAUUUUAACAAGAUGAUAUAAACAGGCCAAUGCAAAACAACAGUCAGCACUAAAGUCAUUACACAAGUUAAUUAGGAACGUUAUGUCUUCAGUGACAAAGAGUCCUUUUUUCUCCAACAUCCACCAAAUCGAAAACUUCCCAGAGUGCCUUGCUUUGCAUGUCUUGUGAUUAUCCCAAUGGACUAAGUCCAGUAUGAGACAGUGUUAUGUGCAACAGUAACAGAUCAAAGUAAUUCAACAGAUAAAAGGCGUCCAGAAAAGGGGAGAAGACAAGGGCCGUUUAUUUUUACCACAGAAUUGUGUUUGUAAAAUAUAUCUAGAUAUGUCUGACUUGUGCAAGUAGUUUUUAUUCCCCCUGAGAUCUGAAAAAUGAUUGAUGUCCCCCACUUUAAUGCUAAAGAGGGCAAAGGCAAACCAUGCCAUGUGUAAGCAUUGUCACACCUGUGUCAUGUAUUCACAACAAACCAAAGUUGUUUAUGGCUAAACAUUACAGCACCCAGACUGUUCCAAAGUUUACCUGUAAAUAGCAUCAACAUUGGUAGACGAUGGUGAUUGGUCAAAAUCUUUACAAUCUACUUCUAUGAGGCAUUCAGUAGCUUCACUAAACCUCCACUGAAACAAACACAUUUCUUGCAGUUGAUAUUUGGACCUCACGUUUGUAGUUUCAAAUGCUCCAAUGGAUGAUAAAGCAGUGAUAUCAGCCAAGGAGAUUAUGACGUUUUAUCAUUCAUUAGGCGAUUUGUAUACUUUUUUGUGUGUUGUUUAUACAGGACUAUAUGUAUCUGAAGUUUAGCUAUGUGAAUUGACAAAAAUAAAUACAACAUUGUUGCAUAUUUAGAAUUUAGUUAAAAAAAAAAAAACAUGUGUGUGCCUGUUUACUAUAAAUAGACUUAGCACCAGCUGUUAAAUAGUCUUGUUAGCAAAAUGGCUCUGAAUAUUAUUUUGUCUCAAGAGGAAAACAACUAAAUUUGCAUUAAUUUAUUGGUUACAUUAGAAGACGAGGGAGUAGAAUAAAUAUUCUCUCAUGAAAAUGCUUUCUGUGCUUAUCUCCCUAUACAUUUCUUUAUGAAAUUAAUUGGAACACUGGCCCACCAGAAUUAUCUCAUAUCUGAUCUUUAGUUCUUUAUAAGGUUGUUCUUGCAAAAAGCAGCUAAGCGACUAUAAAUAAAUUCAAUGGGGGAAACUGGAGAUGCUCUAAUGGCCUAAAGGACACACUGAAAAAUUAUGUAAAACAUUUUUUGCACCAGCCCAAAAAUAUGAAUCCUUAGUUUUAAAAUUCACUCUAAAUUAUGAUUACAUUAUUAUAGUUGUUCAUUAUAUACUUUAUUUCCUGAGGUUCAUUUGGAUGGUAAAGAUAAUGUAAAUGUUUCUUUAAGUAGAUAAUGCAGCUAUGCUUACAUUAUAUCUUGUUGCAUCCAGUCUGCAUGAAAUGCAACAGUAUUACUCAAUGUAACUGAUGCAAAUAGGUUUGUAUCUGUCUACUAUUGUUCUGUGGUCUCCAUCGUCUCUGUUGUUGAUGCUAUGCAGAGGUUUGUGGGUCAGAAUAGCCAGAAAGGCAUGCUGACUGCCAUACUGCAAAAAUGCUAAAGGAUGUAUUGUAGUUUGUCAUCCUGGCAUUUCUGGCACAGUGUAUCAUACGUAUCAUGUAAUGGGACAUUGAAUGUCUGACAGACUAUAUAGGCAGGUAGUGUGCUAUUUGAAAUGCAGGGAAUGAAUGUCAGGACCAAAUACUCUCUUCCUCUAUGCUAAAUCAAAAGACAAUACAUAUUUCAUCAGGAUGUUAACAAAGAAAGAAAAAAAUGCAGAAAAA